rnacentral:rRNA from 1 species
UCUGGUGAGUAUAGGUGAGGGGAAACACCCGUUUCCAUUCCGAACACGCCGGUUAAGCCCUCAACCGCCGAUGGUAGUUGGACCUUGCUGUCCUGUGAGAGUAGGUUAUUGCCAGGU